rnacentral:misc_RNA from 1 species
AAAAAAGCCUUUACAGAUAUAGAUUAGGCUGGAGCUCUUGAUGAUAGGUCUACAUCAAGUUAUUGCAUCUUUGUUAGUGGUAACCUAGUUACUUGGAGAAGCAAGAAACAAAAUAUGACAACUAGAUCAAGAUCAGCACAAAGCAUCUGUGAGCUAUUGUGGUUGCAGAAAUUGAUGGAAGAGCUGACAUUGUCAGAGACCAAUAGUUUAGUUUUAUUUUAUAAUAACAAAGCUGCUAUUAAUAUUGUCUAUAAUCUAGUUCAAUGUAAUAGGAUCAAGCACAUAGAGAUUGGUCCACUUCAUAAGGGAGAAGAUUGUAGAUGGUUCAUUGACUGUGAUUUAUGCAACUUCAAAGGAGUAGUUGGCUGAUAUAUUUACAAAAGGUCUAAGCAUCAAAAUAUUCCACACUUUAGUUUGCAAGUUAGGCAUAUGUAAUAUCCAUGAACCAACUUGAGGGGGAGUG